rnacentral:rRNA from 1 species
GCGAACGCUGGCGGCAGGCCUAACACAUGCAAGUCGAGCGGCCCUUCGGGGCAGCGGCGGACGGGUGAGUAACGCGUGGGAACGUGCCCUUUGGUACGGAACAACUGAGGGAAACUUCAGCUAAUACCGUAUGUGCCUUACGGGGGAAAGAUUUAUCGCCAUUGGAGCGGCCCGCGUUAGAUUAGCUAGUUGGUAGGGUAAUGGCCUACCAAGGCGACGAUCUAUAGCUGGUCUGAGAGGAUGACCAGCUACACUGGGACUGAGACACGGCCCAGACUCCUACGGGAGGCAGCAGUGGGGAAUCUUGCGCAAUGGGCGGAAGCCUGACGCAGCCAUGCCGCGUGAAUGAUGAAGGUCUUAGGAUUGUAAAAUUCUUUCACCGGGGACGAUAAUGACGGUACCCGGAGAAGAAGCCCCGGCUAACUUCGUGCCAGCAGCCGCAGUAACAC